rnacentral:rRNA from 1 species
CUGCAGCACUAAGGGGCGGAAACCCCCUAACACUUAGCACUCAUCGUUUACGGCGUGGACUACCAGGGUAUCUAAUCCUGUUUGAUCCCCACGCUUUCGCACAUCAGCGUCAGUUACAGACCAGAAAGUCGCCUUCGCCACUGGUGUUCCUCCAUAUCUCUGCGCAUUUCACCGCUACACAUGGAAUUCCACUUUCCUCUUCUGCACUCAAGUUUUCCAGUUUCCAAUGACCCUCCACGGUUGAGCCGUGGGCUUUCACAUCAGACUUAAAAAACCGCCUACGCGCGCUUUACGCCCAAUAAUUCCGGAUAACGCUUGCCACCUACGUAUUACCGCGGCUGCUGGCACGUAGUUAGCCGUGGCUUUCUGAUUAGGUACCGUCAAGAUGUGCACAGUUACUUACACAUAUGUUCUUCCCUAAUAACAGAGUUUUACGAUCCGAAGACCUUCAUCACUCACGCGGCGUUGCUCCGUCAGGCUUUCGCCCAUUGCGGAAGAUUCCCUACUGCUGCCUCCCGUAGGAGUCUGGACCGUGUCUCAGUUCCAGUGUGGCCGAUCACCCUCUCAGGUCGGCUAUGCAUCGUUGCCUUGGUAAGCCGUUACCUUACCAACUAGCUAAUGCAGCGCGGAUCCAUCUAUAAGUGACAGCAAGACCGUCUUUCACUUUUGAACCAUGCGGUUCAAAAUAUUAUCCGGUAUUAGCUCCGGUUUCCCGAAGUUAUCCCAGUCUUAUAGGUAGGUUAUCCACGUGUUACUCACCCGUCCGCCGCUAACAUCAGAGAAGCAAGCUUCUCGUCCGUUCGCUCGACUUGCAUGUAUUAGGCACGCCGCCAGCGUUCAUCCUGAGCCAGGAUCAAACCCUC